UACGUAGGGUGCGAGCGUUAAUCGGAAUUACUGGGCGUAAAGCGUGCGCAGGCGGUUUUGUAAGCCAGAUGUGAAAUCCCCGGGCUUAACCUGGGAAUGGCAUUUGGGACUGCAAGGCUGGAGUGCGGCAGAGGAGACUGGAAUUCCUGGUGUAGCAGUGAAAUGCGUAGAGAUGUGGAGGAAUACCGAUGGCGAAGGCAGCCUCCUGGGCCAACACUGACGCUCAUGCACGAAAGCGUGGGGAGCAAACAGG
rnacentral:rRNA from 1 species